rnacentral:rRNA from 1 species
GUGGAUUGCACCAGAAGUAGUUAGYCUAACCGCAAGGRGGACGAUUACCACGGUGUGGUUCAUGACUGGGGUGAAGUCGUAACAAGGUAGCCGUAGGUGAACCUGCAGAAGGAUCA